rnacentral:lncRNA from 1 species
GUCAAACUGAUGCAGAGGUUGGAUGCUGUGGCUCUUGGAGGGAGGCUGGAGGUGACCUGUUCCAAGGAAUUGUAGCAGCACAGCCUCAGGAAUGAAGAAAUCAUCCAGGCUCUGAGUGUGGGUGAAAUGUUUGAAGGGAGAGUGUUUGGAGAGUGACAGAAGCAGGGAGUCAGUGGGAAGGUGGGAGGAAGAAGCUGGCAACUCUACAGGGAAUUGCUUGGAGCUCUGGUUGUACCUGCUGAGGGGUAUUUUCCUUUAAAAUUUGCUCAGGUAUGGGACUUUGUGCUGCAAGGUCUUGGGCUGCUGGCAAAGAACAUCAUGAGAGUCUGUCUAUAACCAGCCAUGAGACAAGAGUCAUCCAGUGGAAGCACUGACAGGAGAAAGACACUUAUGGGG